rnacentral:rRNA from 1 species
UACGUAGGGAGCAAGCGUUGUCCGGAAUCAUUGGGCGUAAAGCGCGCGUAGGCGGCCCUGUAAGUCCGUUGUGAAAGUCAAAGGCUCAACCUUUGAAAGCCGAUGGAUACUGCAGGGCUAGAGUCCGGAAGAGGCGAGUGGAAUUCCUGGUGUAGCGGUGGAAUGCGCAGAUAUCAGGAGGAACACCAAUAGCGAAGGCAGCUCGCUGGGACGGUACUGACGCUAAGGCGCGAAAGCGUGGGAGCGAACGA